rnacentral:misc_RNA from 1 species
ACCGCGCCCCGGCUUGAACAGAGCUCUUUUUGUGUAACGAAGUGAAACAAAAAAGCGGGAGUGGAAGACGGAAAGGUGC